rnacentral:misc_RNA from 1 species
GUUUCAAGUAAGUCAUUAAUUGAUGAGUUCAUCCACAUAAUUGGAUUAGCACUCCUUGUGUCUUUUAUCAAUAGUUUUACUUAUAAAAAUAACCGAUAUUUGAUGUAUUUAUGUGAUUAUUCAUUAUACUUGCAAUUUUUCAGUGGACUGCUGCAUACUGCAGGCAAGUUUACAAUUGACUGUUACAUACUGUCAAAAGAAAAUAAGAUAAAUCCAAGGCAAUACAGAUAGAAGUGGAAAUGUCAAUAAUGAAAAUUGUUCCUUAAUUU